GGAAAGCCGACGCGAAUCAUAAC
rnacentral:siRNA from 1 species